AUUGAACGCUGGCGGCAGGCCUAACACAUGCAAGUCGAACGGUAACAGGAAGCAGCUUGCUGCUUUGCUGACGAGUGGCGGACGGGUGAGUAAUGUCUGGGAAACUGCCUGAUGGAGGGGGAUAACUACUGGAAACGGUAGCUAAUACCGCAUAACGUCGCAAGACCAAAGAGGGGGACCUUAGGGCCUCUUGCCAUCGGAUGUGCCCAGAUGGGAUUAGCUAGUAGGUGGGGUAACGGCUCACCUAGGCGACGAUCCCUAGCUGGUCUGAGAGGAUGACCAGCCACACUGGAACUGAGACACGGUCCAGACUCCUACGGGAGGCAGCAGUGGGGAAUAUUGCACAAUGGGCGCAAGCCUGAUGCAGCCAUGCCGCGUGUAUGAAGAAGGCCUUCGGGUUGUAAAGUACUUUCAGCGGGGAGGAAGGGAGUAAAGUUAAUACCUUUGCUCAUUGACGUUACCCGCAGAAGAAGCACUGGCUAACUCCGUG
rnacentral:rRNA from 1 species